rnacentral:rRNA from 1 species
ACACGCAUGACACACUGCAUAUCAAUAAGCGGAGGAAAAGAAACUAACAAGGAUUCCCUUAGUAACGGCGAGUGAAGCGGGAAUAGCUCAAAUUUGAAAUCUUCAAGGUUCUACCUUGACGAAUUGUAGUUUAUAGAAGUGUUUUCUGUUAGUAGAGCGGCAAAAGUUCUUUGGAAUAGGACAUCAUAGAGGGUGAGAAUCCCGUAUUUGGUCAUUCUUUCUAGCUUUGUGAUACACUUUCAACGAGUCGGAUUGUUUGGGAAUGCAGUCCAAAAUGGGUGGUAAAUUUCAUCUAAAGCUAAAUAUUGGCGAGAGACCGAUAGCGAACAAGUACCGUGAGGGAAAGAUGAAAAGAACUUUGAAAAGAGAGUUAAACAGUACGUGAAAUUGUCAAAAGGGAAGCGUUUGACACCAGUGUUGUUUUUCCGAAAAUCAAUUACGAAUGUUUUGUUUUUAAGAAGUUAUGACUUCAUCGGCUUGCUUCUUUCUUUACGAAACUUUCUUAAUGCACUUUUCGGUUAACAAGUCAACAUCAAUUUCUUUUGUUGUAAAAGGGUAUGAGGAAGGUGGCUUUCUUUUCGGAGAAAGUGUUUAUAGCCUUGUGCCUCUGCAAUCGGAGAGAUUGAGGUCUGCAGCGUAGAUCCUUCGGGGUUAGAUACAUUUGUGCUAAGUUAUAGCUUUUCAUAGACAACUUGUUGACUAUGUUUAGUCUUGUAGCUUACUCGCUUAUGCUAUUUUACCUACGCUUAGGAUGUUGACGCAUGAGAUAUACGC